UGCAUUCUGUUUAUGAUCCUCUGCCAAAGCCU
rnacentral:piRNA from 1 species